UUAUUUUAGCGGCGGACGGGUGAGUAACGUGUGGGUAACCUGCCUUUUACUGUGGAAUAAUCGUUGGAAACGACGACUAAUACCGCAUACGAUUUUCUGAAGGCAUCUUCGGAAAAAGAAAGGAAAUAUUCGGUAAAAGAUGGGCCCGCAUCUGAUUAGCUAGUUGGUGAGAUAAUAGCCCACCAAGGCAACGAUCAGUAGCCGACCUGAGAGGGUGACCGGCCACAUUGGGACUGAGACACGGCCCAAACUCCUACGGGAGGCAGCAG
rnacentral:rRNA from 1 species